rnacentral:misc_RNA from 1 species
GAUGAAUAACGUAGCGAAAUGCGAUAAGUAAUGUGAAUUGCAGAAUUCAGUGAACCAUCGAAUCUUUGAACGCACAUUGCGCCCGGCAGUAAUCUGCCGGGCAUGCCUGUCCGAGCGUCAUUUCUGCCCUCGAGCGAGUCCAGCAUCUAGGUGCUGGGCCCGCCCGGCGUUGGGGCACUACGGGAAGCCCUGUGCUGUCCCCCGUAGGCCCCGAAAUGAAGUGGCGGUCCUGCCGCGGCGCCCCCUGCGUAGUAUAACAGCUCGCUUCGGGACCCGGUGGAGGCCUGCCGUCAAACCUUACUCUCUAAGUUUGACCUCGUAUCAGGUAGGGUUACCCGCUGAACUUAAGCAUAUCAAUAAGCGGAGGA